GCGAGAGUGGCGGAAAUGGCAGACGCGCUAGACUUAGGAUCUAGUAUCUUUUGAUGUGGGGGUUCGACUCCCCCCUCUCGCACAA
rnacentral:tRNA from 1 species